rnacentral:rRNA from 1 species
GACGAACGCUGGCGGCGUGCUUAACACAUGCAAGUCGAGCGGUAAGGCCCUUUCGGGGGUACACGAGCGGCGAACGGGUGAGUAACACGUGGGUGACCUGCCCUCAGCUCUGGGAUAAGCCUGGGAAACUGGGUCUAAUACCGGAUAUGACUCCAUGACGCAUGUUGUGGGGUGGAAAGCCUUGUGCGGCUGAGGAUGGGCCCGCGGCCUAUCAGCUUGUUGGUGGGGUGANGGCCUACCAAGGCGACGACGGGUAGCCGGCC